rnacentral:rRNA from 1 species
AUUGAACGCUGGCGGCAGGCUUAGCACAUGCAAGUCGAGCGGGGGAAGGUAGCUUGCUACCGGACCUAGCGGCGGACGGGUGAGGAAUGCUUAGGAAUCUGCCUAUUAGUGGGGGACAACAUCUCGAAAGGGAUGCUAAUACCGCAUACGUCCCACGGGAGAAAGCAGGGGAUCUUCGGACCUUGCGCUAAUAGAUGAGCCUAAGUCAGAUUAGCUAGUUGGUGGGGUAAAGGCCUACCAAGGCGACGAUCUGUAGCGGGUCUGAGAGCAUGAUCCGCCACACUGGGACUGAGACACGGCCCAGACUCCUACGGGAGGCAGCAGUGGGGAAUAUUGGACAAUGGGGGGAACCCUGAUCCAGCCAUGCCGCGUGUGUGAAGAAGGCCUUAUGGUUGUAAAGCACUUUAAGCGAGGAGGAGGCUACUUUAGUUAAUACCUAGAGAUAGUGGACGUUACUCGCAGAAUAAGCACCGGCUAACUCUGUGCCAGCCGCCGCGGUAA